rnacentral:tRNA from 9 species
GUGAUUAGCUCAGCUGGGAGAGCGUCUGCCUUACAAGCAGAAUGUCGGCGGUUCGAUCCCGUCAUCACCCACCA